GAGUGAGGUCUGAUGUGCUCAGAGGGACCUAACGGAGAAUUGUCACUAUGUAAUGAUAUUCCAUAACCCCACUUGCACACAAUGUCUGAGAUGACAUUGGCCCCGAUUUGCUCUCCAAAUAAAAGAGAUGGAUUAUUUACAGUGUAGAAAGUGACUGUGUUUGUAUGAACUGUACUUGGAUACAUUUGUCUUGAAAACAUUUUUUACGGUCCGAAGAAGGGUCUUGACCCAAAAUGCCACCUAUUUCUUUUCUCCAGAGAUGGUGCCUGAUCCACUGAGUUACUUUAGCAUUUUGUGUCCACUGUCAUAGUUUGAUGGUUUGAUGGCUGUUCACAAUCUCCAUGUCAGGCCUUAGUCUGGUGGGGGUUUCUGACAUUGGGAUGAGCAGUUUAUCACGGACCUUGUUCCUAUCAAGAACGUUUUACAACAGCUCUUGUUGUUCAAUGAUAGUUGGUCAACCAUGCUGAGUUCGUCAUUUGAGAAUGUUGUUCUCUAUUUAUUCAUUUGUUGCGAUCUGGACAUCAUUGGCAGCCAGCAUUUGUUGUCCAUCGUGAAGUGUCCUCACCAAGGAGAUCAACACCAAUGACUCUAACAUGGUUCCUAUUGCUUUAUUUUGCACAGGUUAAACCGUCUGCAUAUGGGCUAUCCUUUAAUUCACUAGAGGUACAGAAGUACACAAUUCUGAGGGUGCGGGCGAUGUUCAUGCUUUCAAUACAUCAGAUCAGACGAUGGAGGAAAAUGUAUUUCAAGGUCACAUUGAGAUUUGUUUCUAUUUCAUGGCCCGAGAGGAAUAUCAUGCACAGCCUCUCUGCCAAAUGCAGCAUCUUCUCCCAGCCUGAUGAUGGACAGGCCAUGUUGCUCACAUGUAAAAGUAGAGAAACAGCAUUUGGGACAGAGAACUUUGAGUCCAUGUAUCGGGAACGCACAAGGGCCCUUUGUAAGUGAUGGAAGGAGAGUACCACCUCACAAACUUCUCACCUGCCUUGGUGAACACCACGGGACCCCCAGAACCAGAAUGGAUGCGAGGCAUCCUCAGUCCUUAGGAACUGCCUGAGCAGAGAAAGAAGAUUUAAGAGAUUCAUAUUGAUAGGGAGAACUGUGCUGCUCUCCUUCCAAAAUUGCACAGAAGGCUCUUUUACACCCAUCUAAAAGAGCAGAAUGUCCUGGAAUUGUCAUAUCUGAAAGAAGGCACCUCUGACCAAAGAUUAUAGAGGAGCUCCUCUAGGAUCUUUGCCUCUGACAAGGCAGCGCCUGGUUUUCUGUGUCACAUCACUGACGUUCGAUAAAGUUACAGCCAUUGAUAGUACCAAUCAUUUGCCAGGAAGAAAGAGGCUUAUUGUCUUGCACUGAGGACAAAUCUAACAAUGCAUAAUAAAGUUACAAAUGGUUAGAGAAACCGAAUGAGAAUUGACAAACUGUAAUUAUGGGAAUUAACAAACACAAAUUAAGUCAGUUCGUAAACUGUGCAGAAUGAGGAGAGUAAGCAUGAAUUCGUUCACACAAAAAAAACAUCGUCCUUUAACAAGCUACAUCUUGAAACUGGAGAACAGCCAAACAAGAAAGCUCUUCAACUCUGGGUAAACACGAGUGCGGAAGAGCAUGUUGCACGCAAGCUGCCUGGCCUGAAACUCUACUAUACAUGUUUUUUAGCUCACUGCUCUCUAAAUAGGUCCAGCUGCAACACUUCAGCCCCACAUGCUGCUCCAUGAAAGCCUUGCCAUUGCCGCUCCGCCUGGAGCUGCCUCUGUAAUUUAUGGCUGACCCGUGACUGUGUUUGGCCACUGCCUGCGCUCCAAGCCGACAGACAGUAUUUCGCUCUCCUUUUAACAGUUCCAUAAAUGUCCAGAGCACAUGGUGUGCUGCACAGCUCGAGCUUUAUAGUGCAGCACAGGCCAGCUUCAAAGCUGCGGGGUGUGUCACCUUCUUCAACCACACUUCAAGUGAAGGCACUCCCAUUGAACUAGUGGGUAUUCCAGGAUUUAAACCAGCUAUGAUGAACAACCAGCAAUAAUCAGCAUGGCGUGCGAGACCGGACAGAAUCUGCUGCUGGAGAUCGAUGUAGAUCCUCUGAAAUGGAUGUGAUGGUCUCUUGCAUGUCAAUAAGGCUGGCUUUGUGAACUCAGUGAAUCUAAAGAUAUCAGGAGAAGUGCAAGUGAUCCAGACCCCUGAUCCAGCUGCAAACCUGCCCACAUUCCUGAUUCCUGGUGUUCUGGACCACAACCCGGGUUCCUGCUGCACAAUAAUGAACAAAACUCUGGAAGGGACUGAACAGAAAAUCCAACUGGUUUAAAUAAGCACUGGUCUAUCUAAUUAUAUUUGACUGAUGGCCCAUUUGUAUUGACAGUGAAGGAACCUCUGAUGUCAAACUGCUCUGGUAAUCUAUUUCUGAUCUUCCACAGGCACUACUUACAUUUAGCUUUAAUCAAGGGAUGUGUUGGUUGAGUCACUGCAGAUAUCUUCAGCAAUCAAUAAUUAAUCACAAUAAUAGCAAAUUUAUUAUGAUUGUAGUGUAGCCCAGAUUAUUUUAAGUUUUAUAAAAUGGAUUCAUAACCAGAAGAGAAAUACCCACAUGAGUUGAAGAAUUUUACUUUAAUUCAUUCAGACCGUGGGCAUCACUGUCUAGGCCGUCAUUUAUUGCUGUUCAAUUAGUGAAUGGCAUUUCCAUUAAAUGGUCUGGUGGGUCAUGUUAGGGGGCAGUUCUGAGUGUCUGGAGACACGAAAGGCCAGGCUAGGUAAGGAUGGCAGAUAUCCUUCUCUAAAAGGCACGUUGCAUCACUUUCCUUUAUAUAAAUAUCUGGUAGUUUCAUGGUCACCAUUAUUGACGAGAACUUUAUAAUUUCAGACUUAAUCAAUUAACUGUUUUUUCUACAUUCUUUAGAACUGAAUCAUUAAUCAAUGACAAUGGAAAACACCCAGAUAAAUAACGAAUUCUGAACUACUGUGUUAAAUGAGCUAAACGAGAGCUUGUGUCGGACAAUAGAAAAAAAAUCAAUCGGGCUAGACAAAAAUGCUGGAGAAACUCAACGGGUGAGGUAGCAUCUAUGGAGCGAAGGAAUAGGCAACAUUUCAGGUCGAGACACUUCCUCA